rnacentral:rRNA from 1 species
AUGGAGACCCAGCAGGAGCCCACCAAAGCGGGCGCGGUGGUGGCGUCGCCGGGGGUCGCCGGUGGCGGCGGCUUAGUUCUCGAGAAUGAACCCCCAGCGCCAACAACAGCGCAGCAAGGACCUCCGGGUUCAGCAACUGACAGAGACGCGGUGCUGGCCAAGGUGGAGAUGAAUCGGAAGCUGUCGAUGGUGAAGGCGUGGGAGGAGAACCAGAAGAGCAAGGCAGACAACAGGGCUGAGCACAAGAUGUCGUCCAUCCUAUCAUGGGAGAACACAAAGAAGGCGGCGGUCCAAGCCAAGCUCCGAACACGGGAGGAGAAGCUGGAGAGGAAGAAGGCGGAGUACGCGGAGAAGAUGCGGAACCGGGCCGCGAUGAUCCACAAGGAGGCUGAGGAGCAGCGGGCCGCCGUGGAGGCGAGGCGGCAGGAGGAGAUGAUCAAGUGCCAGGAGACGGCGGCCAAGCACCGGUCACAAGGGACCACGCCCGCCAAGAAGUUCCUCACCUGUUUCGGCUGA